rnacentral:lncRNA from 1 species
GAGGGGGGGGUCGACAAUGAGAUAGGAAGAUAUCUUAUUCUAGCUUUCAAUUAAAAUGACCAUGACAUGUGAAAACAUUUCUCUUGGAUUACCAUUAAAACCAAAAGAAACCAUAAAUUUGUCUUGGCCAAUAAAAUUAAGAUUAAAGUUGAGUGCAAUAAAAUGGUUUGGGGGGGUGGGGGCUACAAAACAAAUUUGAACAAUGAGAUAGGAAGAUUCCAUAUUCUAGCUCUCAAUUAAAAUGACCAUGACAUGUGAAAACAUUUCUCUUAGAUUACCAUUAAAACCAAAAGAAACCAUGAAUUUGUCUUGGCCAAUAAAAUUAAGAUUAAAGUUGAGUGCAAUAAAAUGGUUUACAAGUAUCACAGUCACUUAAUGUGCCCUGACAUAAAUCUGACUGUUACAGAUAAUGCUAGACAAGCCACCAGAAGUGCCAGCUAAGUCAACUUCUCGCUUCAUAUAAGCAAUCAUCAAUUUCUUGAAAAAGGUCAAACAGGAAAGCUAUAUUUAAUCAGACUGGAAAAAUCCAAAGUUGGGCUACCAGAUGAUUGUACAAGAUAGAGGUGCAUUAGUCAUUGUGCAAAAUAUUUUAAAUAUCAUAAUAAUAGAUUAUCUUUCAGUUCAUGGUCAUGAGUCAACUUACUGCUUUAUUCUAUCGUUGAUUAAUUCAUUAAUAUCUGUUCAAAGGAGUGCAGUUCGUUUUUACUAAACAGCAUAUAUUUUCAUUUUAAAAAUUGUCUUCAAUGGUAAAAAGAUUUCUUGGAGUGUUGUUUCAAGGCAUGAUGCAAUAUCAAUAAGACCUAACAGCCAAACCGACUAAUAAACCAUGAUUGAGAUUGCAAAAAAUGGCCUCACCAACCUCAUAACAUUCCAAAAGCAGCUGCAGGCUUACACAGCUCAUCCAUCAAUACUCUAUUAGCCAUUUAAUAUAUGAGAGUAGCCUAGAAAAGCUCUAAACCUCUGAUCCUACUGUUCAACUUAUUAGGCGUCCUGUGAAGAAAUGACUACACGAGAAAAACAUAAAAAUGGAUAUCAGUCCCAGAAUGAUAUCAUCUCAUAUCUAACCUCUGUAAUGACAAAAGCUCUACCAUUACAAUCCAAAACAUGCUCGAGGAUCUCCGACCUUGGUUACUAGUGUCACGCCCUAGAUCCGACCCGUGAUGCGGCUGUGCUACCGCAAGCUACUGCCUAAUAACACGAAGCCAUAUUAACAAUUCAUACAAAAGUAUCAUUUUAUUUAAUAAAUCUUUUCCAAAAGGGAACAGUAGAGAGCUCUAAAAUUUGUACAACCAGCAUCAAUUCCCCAAACCCUAACGGCUUCAAGCUCCCUGCUCCUAGCAACCUUAUUUAUCCGAAAGAAAAAUAACAGGAGUCGUAUGAGC